CUCAGAACGAACGUUGGCAGCGUGGCUAAGACAUGCAAGUCGAACGAGCUAUUCAAUUGGGUAACCUUGCGAAUAGCUAGUGGCGAAAGGGUGAGGAAUAGAUAGGUAACGUACCUUGAGCCCCGGAAUAGCCAUCCGAAAGGAUGGGUAAUGCCGGAUGAUGUAGUCCCGUGAUGCGGGAUUACCAAAGAUUUAUCAGCUUGAGAGCGGCCUUUCUCCUAUCAGCUAGUUGGUGAGGUAACGGCCCACCAAGGCUACGACGGGUACCGGGACUGAGAGGUUGACCCGGCACAUCGGAACUGAGACACUGUCCGGACCUCCACGGAGGGCUGCAGUAACGAAUAUUGGGCAAUGGGCGAAAGCCUGACCCAGCGACGCCGCGUGCGGGACGAAGUCCUUCGGGAUGUAAACCGCUGUCAGGGGGACAAAAGUGCGCGCAAGUGCAUUGAUUUAUCCCUGAGGAAGUCACGGCUAACUUCGUGCCAGCAGCCGCGGUAAUACGAAGGUGGCUAACGUUGUUCGGAAUCAUUGGGCUUAAAGCGGGCGCAGGCGGAACGGUAAGUGUCUUGUGAAAUCCCCCGGCUUAACCGGGGAAUCGCUGGGCAAACUGCUGUUCUUGAGGCAAGCAGGGGUACAUGGAACUCUUGGUG
rnacentral:rRNA from 1 species